AUAAGAUAAUUUAUCAAAUGCAGUUAGGGUUUUUUUUACCUGCUACUCUUCCAUUGCUCUCUGCCGCUCCUUCAUUUGUGAGUGAAUCCGAUCGUCAUCUUCAUCAUAAAGGUAUGCUAUACGGUUCCUUUGUUAGUGUUAUUUCUUUCAAUCGGCGUCUCAAUCUCCUUUUAGGUGGAAGAAAAUGAUGAAAUCAAUGGUCGUUCAAGAUGGGAUUGUUUUCAAGAUUUAAGUGUAAAAUCAUGGGGAACUUGCUCUGUUUGGUUUAAGUAGAUCAAUCUACUAUUGCUAUAAAGGAAAAUUUUGGGAAGUUUGAUGAUGUUCUUGAGCCGGGCUGUCAUUGCGUGCCAUGUAACGACUAUGGUGGCUGCCGGUGAUAAUCCCCCUCGCUAUCGUUGAUGUUGUAGCGGACGAGAUGAAGCUUCUUGAGUAUGUCGUGCAGGAACUUCCCGUCUUCAGCAACAAGUCAAAAAAUUACACCGGAGGAAGAUGAGCUCUUGAAACGGAACACCGGUUGCAUUUACUUCCUUUCCUUCCCCUUAACCUGCAAAGGUACUUUUUUUACUUAAUUUCAAACUAUUGUUAUUUAAACUGGGUCUUUUUUUUGUACCAUGUGUUGUUGCGUGAGAUCGUGAAUGCCUCUGAUUGAAAACUAGGUUUAUUAAUUUGAGGAUCUUGGUUUGAAUUUUGUUUUAUUCUGAUUUUUUUUGCUUUAGAUUUUGAUUUAAGUCUCAAAAAUAUUCUGGCAUGCUUUUAACUAAAUUUGUGUAUUUAUCAAUAGCAAUGUGUUCGUCGAACCAUCAUGACUGAUUUUAGAAGAUAUAGCAUAAAUCGUCGCUGGGGGCGAUCCAACACAAUAGAGGUCCGUAUUAUAAGAAAGAGGGUACCAAAAUAGUGACCUCUACUACUUCAUGAUGGACAAAUAUGUAUGGACAAAUAUCGAGCCGGGGGUCUCACCGGAAGCAGUCUCUCUAUUCCUACGGGGUAGAGGUAAGGCUGUCUAUAUCUUACCCUCCUCAUACCCUGCCUUAGCUUUGCUAUUGGUGGGAUUUACUGAGUAUGAUGAUGAUGAUGACAUAUGUUGACUUGCCUCUUUGUACCGACAACAAACGCACCGAUGAGAGGAUCUUAAAUAUCUGGCUGAUAUAUUAACGUCUUUACGCUUGAUAAAACAAUCCAAUCAUCUAAUCCUUCAUUUAUCAAAUAAGGAGAAUCUGAAGUCAAAGUAUGCUGAUGGUAAAUUGGAACAGUGGUUUCGGAAAUUUUUUGCUGGUAAAUUUUGCUCAAUCUUUUAUCUUUCUUACACUUUAACAUCUUGCCUGUUAGCUGAUGCUUUUUGAUUCUAGAAGCAGCUGUUGCGCGAUGCUUGAUGCACGCACAUUAUGUAUGUGAGGCGUUCGUUAGUAAAAAAUACUAAAGAAUUAUUUAUAGAUAAUAUUUUAACGUGUUGGCUUUUAAAUACUAAAAUUUUUGGGUGGGGAACCCUCAUCAUUUGUGUAUUAGUCGCGAUGUGAAUUGCUAAGAAGUAUAAAAAUCAAAAUCAACCCGCUUUUGGAAGUAACGGGAGCGGUGUCGCAUUAUCUACCAUUACAGUCGUAGAAGUGCUUUUGUGGUGUCCAACUAUAUUCUUGAAUACGUAUAUGGGCAAUAUCUAUUACAGGACCAUUACAUUUGUUGGUAGCUUAUCGAUGUUUCUUGCCCUUAAAUGCAUUUAAAAAAAUGAAACUGAUACCAUAAGUCUGUUUUGAAAUGCC